AAAUAGUUAUGUUUUUCUAAACUAUUAUAAUGACCUAUAUCAGAUUUCUUUGGAAGUUCUAUCCCAGCUAAAAAUUGAUACAGAUUAAAGUAACAUUUGUAUUUAUUUUAAAAAAUCAGUAAAAUAAAAGUGAAGAAACUAUAGUAAAUUUUACUACAUAUUGUUCAUACCAAAUUUUGCUCUCUAUAUCAAGAUUAUUUUUUAUAUUACUGAAAAAUUAACUUUAUAUCUUAUUUUGACCUAUAUUUUUCCCAGUAGAUAGUUCUCCUUUCAAUAUUUUAAGCAAAUUUAGUUUUCUUGUUUUUUCUCUUCAAACCCUAACAGAAAUCCUCAACAUCUUAAAUAUACUCAGUUCCUUAAAUAUUCCCAGCACCCUGGUAUAAAAGAUACCACAAAUGUUUAUUGAAUACAUACUUUUUUUCCUUCUCUAGGCAGACUGAAAACUAGUAUUAUAUAGGAUAUAUAUGUGUAUGUGUGUGUGUGUGUGUAGUUACAUUUAUGUGAUAAUCCACAACUCACUUUUAAAAAUGAAAUGAAACAUGAUGCUUUGUUAAGAUCAUUCAACAUGAAAGUCAAUUAAGAAGUUACAGUUUCUUCAGGCCACUGGUUUAAGGAAAUAGAGAGUGGAUCUUAGAAUAGGCUCUAGAUUACCUGCUAAAGAUGGUUAAGCUUCUCACCUACAAAAUGAAGUAGCUGUCUACACUGACAGAUGCUAUGCAGACUCUAAUCUGUCCCGGCCACCAUUUUUCUUAGGAAUAUUCACUUCAAUAUGCACACUUGGUGAUAGAUGAUGAUUACAAUUUACAACAGAAUUUGCAGUUAUCAGCAACCUAUUUACAGACUUGUAAAGUGAAAUGGCCCAGGAUUUGUAUCACAGUGGAAAAUGCUUUGCAUACAUUUAUAACCUCCACAUUUUGAAAUUCAUUUAAUACUUCCACUGAAAACAGAUCAAUAUUUCAAUAAAUUUAGCAGUAUUUACUUACUAAGAUGAGCCAAGUACGUUUUCAUCCUUGCAAAUGAAUCAUAAAGUUUAAUUCCACAGCAUAACUUCUCUCUGAGCCUGUCACAUUGAUUUCUAAUGUUUCACUGGCCUAAAAUGAUCAAUGUUAAAACUGUGGUUGUUCUUGUGGAUUGUAAUGAAAUGUAAAAGGAAAAAAACAUCAAUUUCUUCCAGCACACAUUUGUUAGAGUUGAGUAUCUGCUUGAAAGAACAUCAGAAAACUGAAAAAUAUACCUUCUCACUUGCUGUAGUAGAUGGACAUUCCAUGUGUGGUAAUUAUUUGUCCUGCACAGCAUGGUCAAGACUACUCACUAAUCCAGCAAAUGAUGUUACAAUAAAAGGUAUGAUAAAAUAGAAAUUAAUUAUAAGACCACAUAAAAAGUAACAAAACAGAAUAUAUCUCAGACUAUUCUUUGCAAGGCAAGGGAUAUGGAAUGUGGACCACUGACUGGUCUGUAUUCUGUGCAACUGGAAAAAAAUCUCCAUGCUGAAAGGAGAUAAUCCAGUUCAGUGUAUAGUUGAUCUCAGGCGACAAGGCAAAACUCACAAUAUGAAACUAUAGAUUGAAGCAACUUACACCCUAUUGUUUCUAAAGCGUAUCUUU